rnacentral:rRNA from 1 species
UACAGAGGUGGCAAGCGUUGUUCGGAAUUACUGGGCGUAAAGGGCGCGUAGGCGGUCUGUCAAGUCCCGUGUGAAAGCCCCCGGCUCAACCGGGGAACGGCGCGGGAAACUAGCAGGCUUGAGUUCGGGAGAGGGAAGCGGAAUUUCGGGCGUAGCGGUGAAAUGCGCAGAUAUCCGAAGGAACACCGGUGGCGAAGGCGGCUUCCUGGACCGACACUGACGAUGAGGCGCGAAAGAUAGGGGAGCAAACGGG